GACGAACGCUGGCGGCGUGCUUAACACAUGCAAGUCGAACGGAAAGGCCCUGCUUUUGUGGGGUGCUCGAGUGGCGAACGGGUGAGUAACACGUGAGUAACCUGCCCUUGACUUUGGGAUAACUUCAGGAAACUGGGGCUAAUCCCGGAUAGGAGCUCCUGCUGCAUGGUGGGGGUUGGAAAGUUUCGGCGGUUGGGGUUGGACUCGCGGCUUAUCAGCUUGUUGGUGGGGUAGUGGCUUACCAAGGCUUUGACGGGUAGCCGGCCUGAGAGGGUGACUGGCCACACUGGGACUGAGAUACGGCCCAGACGCCUACGGGAGGCAGCAGUGGGGAAGAUUGCACAAUGGGCGGAGGCCGGAUGCAGCAACGCCGCGUGCGGGAUGACGGCCUUCGGGUUGUAAACCGCUUUCGCCUGUGACGAAGCGUGAGUGACGGUAAUGGGUAAAGAAGCACCCGCUAACUACGUG
rnacentral:rRNA from 1 species